AUUGAACGCUAGCGGCAGGCUUAACACAUGCAAGUCGAACGAGCGGCGGACGGGUGAGUAAUAUAUGGGAACCUGCCUGGUGGAGGGGGAUAACUACUGGAAACGGUAGCUAAUACCGCAUACCAUCGGAGGGGCCCAGAUGGGAUUAGCUAGUAGGUGGGGUAAAGGCUCACCUAGGCAACGAUCCCUAGCUGGUUUGAGAGGACGACCAGCCACACUGGAACUGAGACACGGCCCAGACUCCUCCGAGAGGCAGCAGUGGGGAAUAUUGGACAAUGGGCGCAACCCGAGUGCAGCCAUUCCGCGUGUAUGAAGAAGGCCGUCGGGUUGUAAAGUACUUUCAGCGGGGAGGCGUUACCUGCAGAAGAAGCACCGGCUAACUACGUGCCAGCAGCCGCGGUAAUUC
rnacentral:rRNA from 1 species